UACGUAGGGUGCAAGCGUUAAUCGGAAUUACUGGGCGUAAAGCGUGCGCAGGCGGUUCUGUAAGACAGAUGUGAAAUGCCCGGGCUUAACCUGGGAACUGCAUUUGUGACUGCAAGGCUAGAAUCUGGCAGAGGGGGGUAGAAUUCCACGUGUAGCAGUGAAAUGCGUAGAUAUGUGGAGGAAUACCGAUGGCGAAGGCAGCCCCCUGGGCUAAGAUUGACGCUCAUGCACGAAAGCGUGGGGAGCAAACAGGAUUAGAUACCCUGGUAGUCCACGCCCUAAACGAUGUCUACUAGUUGUCGGGUCUUAAUUGACUUGGUAACGCAGCUAACGCGUGAAGUAGACCGCCUGGGGAGUACGGUCGCAAGAUUA
rnacentral:rRNA from 1 species